rnacentral:rRNA from 1 species
UAAGGAAUAUUGGACAAUGGAGGCAACUCUGAUCCAGCCAUGCCGCGUGAAGGAUGAAUGCGCUAUGCGUUGUAAACUUCUUUUAUACGGGAAAAAUAUCUGCUAUUCUUAGCGGAUUGAUUGUACUGUAAGAAUAAGGGUCGGCUAACUUCGUGCCAGCAGCCGCGGUAAUACGAAGGACCCGAGCGUUAUCCGGAUUUAUUGGGUUUAAAGGGUGCGUAGGCGUCCUGGAAAGUUACGGUUGAAAUCUCCUUGCUUAACAAGGAAACUGGCCGUAAAACUAUCAGGAUUGAGUACAUUUGAAGCGGGCGGAAUGUGUCAUGUAGCGGUGAAAUGCUUAGAUAUGACACAGAACACCAAUUGCGAAGGCAGCUCGCUAAACUGUAACUGACGCUGAGGCACGAAAGCGUGGGGAUCAAACAGGAUUAGAUACCCCCGUAGUCC